rnacentral:rRNA from 1 species
AACGAACGCUGGCGGCAUGCCUAACACAUGCAAGUCGAACGACACCUCCGUGUCUAGUGGCGCUCGGGUGCGUCGCGCGUGGGAACGUUCACGUAGGUUCCGGAUACCUCUCCUACGGGGGUGCUAAUGCAGGAUAAUUUAUUCUGACAAAGGAUUUAUCGCCCUUGGGUGGGCCGGCGUUGGUUUAGCUUGUUGGUAGGGUAAAAGCCUAUCAAGGCUUAGAUCGAUAGCUGGUCAGAGAGACAGAGCCGCCACACUGGGACUGGGACACGGCCCAGACUCCUACGCGAGGCAGCAGUGCGGAAUACAGGCAUACCGGCUAAGGCAUGAUCCAGCAAGGCCGCGUGAGUGAUGAAGGCGGUAGGGAUGUACAGCUCGUUUACCCGGGACGAUAAUGACAGUACCGGGAGAAUAAGCUCCGGCUAACUCCGUG